rnacentral:rRNA from 1 species
AUUGAACGCUGGCGGCAGGCCUAACACAUGCAAGUCGAGCGGGGUUUUCGGACCUAGCGGCGGACGGGUGAGUAAUGUAUAGGGAGCUGCCCGACAGAGGGGGAUACCAGUUGGAAACGACUGUUAAUACCGCAUAACGUCUACGGACCAAAGUGUGGGACCUUCGGGCCACAUGCUGUCGGAUGCACCUAUAUGGGAUUAGCUAGUUGGUGGGGUAAUGGCUCACCAAGGCGACGAUCCCUAGCUGGUUUGAGAGGAUGAUCAGCCACACUGGAACUGAGACACGGUCCAGACUCCUACGGGAGGCAGCAGUGGGGAAUAUUGGACAAUGGGCGCAAGCCUGAUCCAGCCAUGCCGCGUGUGUGAAGAAGGCCUUCGGGUUGUAAAGCACUUUCAGCGAGGAGGAAGGGGUUGUAGUUAAUAGCUGCAAUUUUUGACGUUACUCGCAGAAGAAGCACCGGCUAACUCCGUGCCAGCAGCCGCGGUAACAC